CAGAGCAGUGCGCCUGCGUGCCACCGCUGCGCAUGCGCACACGCUACGUGGCCCACGGCAGUCGGAAGGGGAGUUCAAGGAGACGUGGGCGACGCGGCGGCGGGCACCUCUUCGGGGUCGGGGCUACCGCCGUCAUGCCCGGGAUAGUGGAGCUGCCCACUCUGGAGGACCUGAAAGUGCAGGAGGUGAAAGUCAGUUCUUCUGUGCUGAAAGCUGCGGCCCAUCACUACGGAGCUCAGUGCGAUAAGCCCAACAAGGAGUUCAUGCUCUGCCGGUGGGAAGAGAAGGACCCGAGGCGGUGUUUAGAGGAAAGCAAGCUUGUCAACCAGUGUGCCCUGGACUUCUUUAGGCAGAUAAAGCAGCACUGUUCGGAGCCUUUUACAGAAUACUGGACCUGCAUCGAUUACUCCGGCUUGCAGUUAUUUCGUCGGUGUCGCAAACAGCAGGCGAAGUUUGACGAGUGUGUGUUGGGCAAACUGGGCUGGGUGCGACCCGACCUGGGGGAGCUGUCAAAGUGGGUGUAAAACACCAUCCUCCUCUCUCCCCGGGACCCCAGUUGGCUCCCUCUCUCGCCUGGCCCAUUGGCUCAGCGCCCCCGUCUAGCUUCUGCUCCUUCCGGCCUGGCCUGCAGACGUGAGUAAGUUACUUCCCUGCCCCAGUGGCACCUGUUGCCCUUGGGUUAGAAUUCAAGCAUCUUUGUGUGUCGUUCAUCACCUGGCUCCCGUGUCUCAGUGUCGAGCAUUCUGUGAGAGCACGGGCUUUGGAGCAGGCAGAUCUCACUUCAGGUCCAUCCACCGUUAGCUGGGGGGUCCCAGUGAACCUGCAGGUUGACCUCCGAGGAGUGUGAGAGUGAACUGGAGUAAUGCGCUUGGCGUCACGUCUAACAACAGGACGUGCUUGGUGAGGGGCUGCCUCUCCCUGCGCUCUGCGCGCGGCCCGUGCUUCGGCUGCCCCAAGGCCGCGCCCCUGUCUCGGUGUGCACUGUUGGCUUCCUGGAAGGUCUUUUCCUCUCCAAUCUUCCUGGUUGGCUCCUGCUCACCCUUCAAGAGGAAAGUAAACGUUGCCCCCUCAGAGCCAGGCCGAGGACGCGUGGCCGUGCGGAGGAGGCCUUGCUGUCCUAGCGCUCAUUCGUCUCUCGGUCACCGUGACCGCUUAGGAAGGCCUGGGUGCUUUUCCGGGCUGACUCCUUCACUGAGGACAGUGUGGAUCGUGCUGUCUUCCGUAUCCCUAACUUCUUCCAUGUGGAAUGACACAAAGUAGGCCUUCUUCAAUGUUUAUUCAGGGUCACCAAAGUGAAAACAGAUCGGCCUUUACCAGAGAAUCCCUAUGACUCAAGAGCAAGGCCAGAGCCCAGCCCUGAGACGGAAGGAGAUCUGAAGCCCGCCA